CCUACGGGUGGCUGCAGUGGGGAAUAUUGCACAAUGGGCGAAAGCCUGAUGCAGCAACGCCGCGUGAGUGAUGAAGGCCUUCGGGUUGUAAAGCUCUGUCUUUGGGGACGAUAAUGACGGUACCCAAGGAGGAAGCCACGGCUAACUACGUGCCAGCAGCCGCGGUAAUACGUAGGUGGCAAGCGUUGUCCGGAUUUACUGGGCGUAAAGGGUGCGUAGGCGGAUAUUUAAGUGAGAUGUGAAAUUCCCGGGCUUAACUUGGGAGCUGCAUUUCAAACUGGAUAUCUAGAGUGUGGGAGAGGAGAAUGGAAUUCCUAGUGUAGCGGUGAAAUGCGUAGAGAUUAGGAAGAACACCAGUGGCGAAGGCGAUUCUCUGGACCAUAACUGACGCUGAGGCAUGAAAGCGUGGGUAGCAAACAGGAUUAGAUACCCCAGUAGUC
rnacentral:rRNA from 1 species